AUGAACGCUAGCUACAGGCUUAACACAUGCAAGUCGCGGGGAAACGACAUCGAAAGCUUGCUUUUGAUGGGCGUCGACCGGCGCACGGGUGAGUAACGCGUAUCCAACCUGCCCACCACUUGGGGAUAACCUUGCGAAAGUAAGACUAAUACCCAAUGACGUCUCUAGAAGACAUCUGAAAGAGAUUAAAGAUUUAUCGGUGAUGGAUGGGGAUGCGUCUGAUUAGCUUGUUGGCGGGGUAACGGCCCACCAAGGCGACGAUCAGUAGGGGUUCUGAGAGGAAGGUCCCCCACAUGGGAACUGAGACACGGUCCAAACUCCUACGGGAGGCAGCAGUGAGGAAUAUUGGUCAAUGGACGAGAGUCUGAACCAGCCAAGUAGCGUGCAGGAUGACGGCCCUAUGGGUGGUAAACUGCUUUUAUAAGGGAAUAAAGUGAGUCUCGGGAGACUUUUUGCAUGUACCUUAUGAAUAAGGACCGGCUAAUUCCGUG
rnacentral:rRNA from 1 species